GCGGSUGCUUACCAUGCAGUCGAACGAUGAUGCCCAGCUUGCUGGGUGGAUUAGUGGCGAACGGGUGAGUAACACGUGAGUAACCUGCCCCUGACUCUGGGAUAAGCGUUGGAAACGACGUCUAAUACUGGAUAUGAUCACUGGCCGCAUGGUCUGGUGGUGGAAAGAUUUUUUGGUUGGGGAUGGACUCGCGGCCUAUCAGCUUGUUGGUGAGGUAAUGGCUCACCAAGGCGACGACGGGUAGCCGGCCUGAGAGGGUGACCGGCCACACUGGGACUGAGACACGGCCCAGACUCCUACGGGAGGCAGCAGUGGGGAAUAUUGCACAAUGGGCGAAAGCCUGAUGCAGCAACGCCGCGUGAGGGAUGACGGCCUUCGGGUUGUAAACCUCUUUUAGUAGGGAAGAAGCGAAAGUGACGGUACCUGCAGAAAAAGCACCGGCUAACUACGUGCCAGCAGCCGCGGUAAUACGUAGGGUGCAAGCGUUGUCCGGAAUUAUUGGGCGUAAAGAGCUCGUAGGCGGUUUGUCGCGUCUGCUGUGAAAUCCCGAGGCUCAACCUCGGGCUUGCAGUGGGUACGGGCAGACUAGAGUGCGGUAGGGGAGAUUGGAAUUCCUGGUGUAGCGGUGGAAUGCGCAGAUAUCAGGAGGAACACCGAUGGCGAAGGCAGAUCUCUGGGCCGUAACUGACGCUGAGGAGCGAAAGCAUGGGGAGCGAACAGGAUUAGAUACCCUGGUAGUCCAUGCCGUAAACGUUGGGCGCUAGAUGUAGGGACCUUUCCACGGUUUCUGUGUCGUAGCUAACGCAUUAAGCGCCCCGCCUGGGGAGUACGGCCGCAAGGCUAAAACUCAAAGGAAUUGACGGGGGCCCGCACAAGCGGCGGAGCAUGCGGAUUAAUUCGAUGCAACGCGAAGAACCUUACCAAGGCUUGACAUACACCGGAAACGGCCAGAGAUGGUCGCCCCCUUGUGGUCGGUGUACAGGUGGUGCAUGGUUGUCGUCAGCUCGUGUCGUGAGAUGUUGGGUUAAGUCCCGCAACGAGCGCAACCCUCGUUCUAUGUUGCCAGCGGGUUAUGCCGGGGACUCAUAGGAGACUGCCGGGGUCAACUCGGAGGAAGGUGGGGAUGACGUCAAAUCAUCAUGCCCCUUAUGUCUUGGGCUUCACGCAUGCUACAAUGGCCGGUACAAAGGGCUGCGAUACCGUAAGGUGGAGCGAAUCCCAAAAAGCCGGUCUCAGUUCGGAUUGAGGUCUGCAACUCGACCUCAUGAAGUCGGAGUCGCUAGUAAUCGCAGAUCAGCAACGCUGCGGUGAAUACGUUCCCGGGCCUUGUACACACCGCCCGUCAAGUCAUGAAAGUCGGUAACACCCGAAGCCGGUGGCCUAACCCUYGUGGAAGGAGCCGUCGAAGNUGAU
rnacentral:rRNA from 1 species